UACGUAGGAUGCAAGCGUUGUCCGGAAUUACUGGGCGUAAAGGGCGCGCAGGCGGCAAGUCAAGUCUGAUGUAAAAUCUCCCGGCUUAACUGGGAGGGGCCAUUGGAAACUGGCUAGCUGGAGUGCAGGAGAGGCUAACGGAAUUCCCGGUGUAGUGGUGAAAUGCGUAGAUAUCGGGAGGAACACCGGUGGCGAAGGCGGCCCCCUGGUUGGAUACUGACGCUGAGACGCGAAAGCGUGGGGAGCAAACAGG
rnacentral:rRNA from 1 species